rnacentral:piRNA from 1 species
UACCAUCUCAAGUUCAAAGGUUAAGGC